rnacentral:rRNA from 1 species
AGUCGAACGAAAGAGAAAGAGCUUGCUCUUUGAAUUGAGUGGCAAACGGGUGAGUAACACGUAAACACCUGCCUUCAGGAUGGGGACAACAGACGGAAACGACUGCUAAUACCGAAUAAGGCCGCAUGGCGAAAGGUGGCCUUCUUAGCUAUCGCCUGAAGAGGGGUUUGCGUCUGAUUAGCUGGUUGGAGGGGUAACGGCCCACCAAGGCGACGAUCAGUAGCCGGUCUGAGAGGAUGAACGGCCACACUGGAACUGAGACACGGUCCAGACUCCUACGGGAGGCAGCAGUGGGGAAUCUUCCGCAAUGGGCGAAAGCCUGACGGAGCAACGCCGCGUGAGUGAUGACGGCCUUCGGGUUGUAAAACUCUGUGAUCCGGGACGANGGCAGAGGCGAAGAACAACUGCAUNGACGGUACC